UCAUUUUCCCCCUUCUCUUUCACUCUCUUCUCUCUCCAUCUCCUCUCUCUACCAUCCCACCACCCGACUGCCCCCACCCCCUCCUUAGACGGUCAACGCCACCCGCCGCCGCCGCUUUUUUCGACCAGCAAUCGUCGCCACCAGACGCCGCCAGCUCAGGUCAUUUCUGAAGAGAUGGAUAUGACAAAAAAGAAAUAUCUUAGAGGUGAAGGAACAGAUUUGAAGAUGUUAAAGAGCUACUUCUAAUAAUUUGCAAGCAUUGAAAGAUAAAAAAUUACAGGGUCAGCUUGCUGUGAAAGAAGAUUUGUAUGGAAAAUCUGCAGCAGCUGCCGCGAAGGCUGAGAAGAUUUUGGUCCUUACACUCUUGAAUUCACCCCUAGCGGUCGCUACAUGGCUGCAGCUGGACGAAAGGGUCACAUUGCUAUUGUAGAUAUGAAAAACAUGAAUGCCAUUAAAGAACUACAGUUAGAUGAUUUAGUAUCAUUAAUUUCAAUAUCACAUAUCAAGCUUAGUUUAUCGAAUGAAGAAGUCAAUUUAAAGCGGUGUCUUAAUGCUGGACUUUCCUAUAUAUGCAACAAACAAUGGAGCCUUUCGUCGAUACCCGUCGGCCCUUGAAGUCGUAGGUGCUGCUGAUGAUGAUAGGGCAGUUGAUCCUAAGGAGUAUGAAGCUAUGAAGCAUCAAGUUGACCCGCUAACAAGAACACUUAAUUCCUCGGAGGCCAGGAUGUUGGGGAGGAUACGGAUCAUGUCUCUAAUACCGAACGUUGACCUUUUUGAUUAGUGUGCUUUUGGAUUCUAAUUCGGCUAUGUUUAAAUGGAUAUGUAUAUUACGUUUAAGAGUUUGAAUGUAGUUUUAAUUCGAAUUAGAAGUACUUUUAAUUUUAAGAUGUUUAAGUGGUUGAACGUAGUUUAUGAUGUUUAAGUGUUUGAAUAGACAAUGUUUGAGUAUUCAAGUGUUUGAAUAUUGUUUAUGGUUGUUGUGUUG